rnacentral:lncRNA from 1 species
ACCUGAUUCUUGACAGCAGCAUGAUAAGGAGAUGGCUGUGGAAAACACACCCUCUUUAGCACUGGUGCCAGGGAAACAUAUCUGUACAAAGAAGGCUGAACCUUGAUCUACCUGACAGCUGGAGAAGAGAAAUUAAGACACGAUUUAAUACAUGACUUAUAACUACCAGGGGAAAUGAUGCUUCACUAUAGAAGCAUACAGAACACUUUCCUAAACAGGGUUCUUGUAGAAAAUAACAGUGGACAAAGCAACUGAAACUGUUACCAGCACAGAGAGACCACCUGCGGAAAAGGAGACCAUUGUUGCUAGCUAUUUGUCUCACAGGGCAGUGAUAUCCAGAAUGUAUAAAGAGUCAUCUUAAAAAGCACACAGACACAGUAAAUGGACAAGUUAACUGGACAGACGAGCUUCUAAAGAUGUACAAAUUUGGCCAAUCAAUGCAUGAAAAACCUUCAACAUUUUCAGUUGUCAAGAUGAUGCUGGUCAAAGCUGCAUCGCAGGGAGUGGAGAUGGCUCGACUACACAGUGUAGGACGUUUCCAUACAGUGAUGCUUUAUUCUGCCACUAUGAGGAAAAAAAGUCACAUAAUCAGCAGAAAAUGGAUGAAACAGAAGAUCACUGGCAAGAUGGCUUAGUGGGUAAAAGUGCUUGUCACCACGUCUAACAACAUG